UUUAUCUAUUCGUCAGAGAGAGAGCGAGAGACAGAGAGCACAGCAGGAGGGAAGCAGCAGGCAGAGGGGUGUGAGCGACAGGAGCUGUUGCCACGUGAGUUCAGUGGCAACAGAAAGAGGAGGGAGCUACUUGUCCUGCACCCUCUGGGGGCCAUUCCCGGGAAAGACAGAGAAAAAGGAAACCUGAUGCUCCAGGAUUGGCCAUGGUUGCAAGAUGAAGCUGAUGCCGCAAACAGCCGCGUGAGGAGAUGGCAGUAACCUGGGGCCCCGGUGACAUAGCUCAAUCCCUGAAUCAAGCCCAUCUUACUUCUAAACUUCCUGCUAUUUGAGGUAA